rnacentral:rRNA from 1 species
UACGUAGGUGGCAAGCGUUGUCCGGAUUUACUGGGUGUAAAGGGCGUGUAGCCGGGCUUACAUGUCAGAUGUGAAAUCCGGGGGCUCAACCCCCGAACUGCAUUUGAAACUGUAGGUCUUGAGUAUCGGAGAGGCAGGCGGAAUUCCUAGUGUAGCGGUGAAAUGCGUAGAUAUUAGGAGGAACACCAGUGGCGAAGGCGGCUUACUGGACCAUGACUGACGUUGAGGCUCGAAAGCGUGGGGAGCGAACAGG